rnacentral:lncRNA from 1 species
GCACUUGAUGAAAGGCGGGAAAGCGUAAAGGGUAGUACUAGGUCUGGCUGCCUGUGCCCGCCGCGGGGACUAGAGGCCUCUUCCGUACAACAGGAAGCGAGGACAUGGGAAAAGGCCUCCAGUUGUCGAAAAUGGGGCCCGACUAGAAGUGGAGGGGCAUUGGGUAGAUUUUUCACGGCACUGGCCUGGGACCUGUUUGAACUGCAAGUCGCGGCGGGAGUUGGAAAUGAGCCUGUCUGUGGUGUGAGAUAAGUGAGCAUGGAAGCAAGAUGAUUCCAACUGGAAUGUGACAAGAAAGACUUAUUUGGAAGUGUGCACUUGAAAGAGCAAGGGAAAACAGAGGUUGGAACCUCCAAUUGUUGGGGACACAUCAAGCCUUGGAUUCUUCAGGAAAAAGGAAGGCCAAGUAGGAAAUUGGAUCCAAGUUAAAAGUAUCUUUAUUCAAAUAUGUAUUAAAACUUUUUGAUCUUCAAAGCAACUUGGAUCUGAUUCAUAAAAGUGAACUCUGUACCCUUUCAAAAAUCAAGAAUUCAGGAAUGACUUUCUGCAUAGAACAGAACUCUCCAAAAUAUAUGCAAAUGAGAUAGGUUUCUACUCCUUAAAGGUACCAAAAUACUUUCUGUGUGAAAUUUUACUUGUAAGGUGAAAGGAUCCAUGUCAUUGUCUGGGAAGGUAGAUAAGCCAAUGUUUAGAUUGUUUAUGAGUCUGAGCAAUUGGUCGCUGAGUUUCCGGGAUUUUGGAGUGUUCUCCACAUCCUAUAUGUAAUGACUUUGAGAUUUAAAGGUUCUUCUUUAUUUGGUAAGUUUAGAAAAUCAAAAUCAAAUGUUUAAUGAUUUUAUUUUUAAAAUGAGUUAGGCAUAACUGGCAUUGGGGUGUGGAGAAGUUCUAAGUCCAGAUAACUGUUACUGAAUAGUUCCUUGAGGAUGGUCAUAAUAGUUUAUUUUUCUCAUGUUUUCUUUGCUUUAACACAUCUCAGCUUUGGGUUGUCAUUUUGAAUGGACAAAUGAAGAGUUUUGGCUGUACCUUUAACCAAAAUAAUAGAAACAUCAAUUAGAAACAAUAGGAGGGAGUGUUAAAUGGACACCGUUGGACUGGAGGGAAAUUUAUUGUAUUGAUAGUGUGAUAGGAGUUCUGGGACUGGACACACACAACAGAUAGGUAAACUCAGCAAGAAUCUGAGAUACCCUUUCCUUCUCUCCUUGCUAGGUCACAAUGUGUGCCUUUUGUUUAUGGACCUAGAAGCAGCCACAAUGAUAGAUGCUAUAAUACAGACAGAUAAAGGACAUCAAAUAACUAUAUCCACUCUUAUCUAGGGAAGAAAAGUGUCCUUUCUAUAUUACGUUCUAAAAGUUCUAUAGUUUUAUCUUCAAUUAGUUCUCCCUUGCAUUGUACUUUCCCUUUUGUAUGUGGUUUGUUGUACUGAUUUAACACGAAGUUUUAGCAAACAGAUAGUACAUUGUUUCUGGACCACAUGCAAGGUUAUGUGGAAAGAUGGGCAGUGAGAGGAAAUAAAAACCUUUCAAAGGACAGGGAGAGGAAGAUAGACUGGAAUGAAAAUAUACUAUAUGUUUCAUCUUACUUGAAUGGGAAAAUGAGAAAAAGAACAUUAUAUGAUAGAAGCAACACUCAAUAUCUUACUCAAAUAAACAGUAAAGAAAUAUCUGUGACAGAGGAAAGAAAAAUAGCAAGCAGAAUGCAAAAAUAAAUAAUGAGUAUAAAGCAAGAUGCAAACAUAAAGCAAAAGAUACUAGACAUCAUGUUAUAUUUGAGUAGAUGGAUAUUUUUCAUUAGAAUACAGAAAAGUCCCCAGAAGAUAUUUUAUCAAAGUUGUUUAUUCAUUGCCAAAAUAAUAUGAUUUCCCCUGGAAUCCCAGUGAACAUUGGAUGACUUUUUCCCCUGCAUCAGAAGGCAAUAUGUAAGUGUGGCAGAUGGCAGAGACCAUUUAUAAUGAUGAAGACCUUGAAGUAUGGAUCCAGAAGUACAAGAAUCUAAGUCAUGUUUGCACUUGGAAUUUUAGAUUCCCUGUACCCUGAAAUGGACUUAACACUGACUUGAGACACAAACUUUGUUUAGAUGUCCCAUUACAAUAAGUGCUGCCAAGAAUGUCAUUAGUUCAAACAGUGGGUGUUUAUUAAAUCUUAAUUGGUGAGACUUAAUUCUAAGAAGACAAAGACUUAUAUUUAUGUUUUCUUUUGGAAAUUUCUAGUAACAAACCAAGGUGUAAAGUAGCUUAAGAAAUGAGGCAUAUUAUGUGUUAUUUCUCUUCUUAACCUACAUCCUCACAUUUUUUCAAACUAAAGGUCAGGAUAAAGAAUCAAGGCAAGUGAGGUAGGUAUCUGAGCCAUAAAGUAUAAAUAUUGAAAGAUAUCAUUCUAUUUAGCAAUUACAGGAAAUUCAAGUUAUAUAGAUUUCCACUUUAAGUCCCUCUCACCCGACAUUACAGAAUGCACAUUUUCCUAUAUCAACUAGUCUCCCCUUCAUUUCUUCAGUUAGGAUAGCAUGUUCCUUCUUCCCCAAAUGUUUUUGAUUGCUCGUAUAUGUCCUGGCUUACUUUCAUAUCAUUCAUUUCCUUUAUGUAAAAAUGAUUAUGUUUUUUAAAAUCUUGUGACCACCAAGUAUGUAGAAAUGUUGUUUUUUGUCUAGCAGUUGUACCAUAGCUGAACUGUCAAAUUGAGAAGAGUGAAUAGCUAGUUUGUAUUUGUUUUUUAAAUUAACAAUUAAUAAAAUUGACUUUUUAGGGAUUAGUCUUUUCCU